GCGGGAGUGCCGGAGCGGUCAAAAUGCUUAAUAUAUUAAGUAUGACUUAACGGGAUAGGCUAAGGACCUAUUGGCUUAGUGCCUGCGCAGGUUCGAACCCUGUCUCCCGCA
rnacentral:tRNA from 1 species